AUCUUUAGGUCUUCAAGAACUAAGACCAGGAACUCAUUGGUCCAAUUCUGAAUGUGGACCACAAUCCUCAAGAAUAGAACCUGGAAUCAUCAUUGGUGUUGUUGUGGCAUCAGUCCUAAUAGCUCCUAUAAUAAUAAUAAGAAGAAGAAUUGUAAUUCUAAGGAAGAAAAGAAGUACAACAACAGUGACUUUUUCUCCAGUGACAGUAAAUGCUGUAGAGGUAUGUUGAUAUAAUCUACAUGUUGAACCGUCACUGUGCUAAGGUUAGCUGAGCAGAUGUUAUUAUUGCUCUACUUACUCUGGGCUGAACUAGAAAUGUUUCAUUGAGUAAUAUGUUUCCUUCUAUUAGGCAUCAUCAGAUUUAGAGGAAACACCAAGCAAUGUAGUACAAUGAAACAGAAGAAAGUACAGCAUCUUGCAGGUGUUAGUUUUGUAGAUGAAACAAAGCCGCUUGAUGACAAUGGAUCCUCCUAAAGAGGUCAAAGGGCAGACAAACCUCUCAGGCAGUAACAUCCCAGUCUGCUUCAGUGGCCCAGAAAUCAGGAGCAAACCCAGACUCAGAGAUGGAUAGUGAUGAUUCUCUCUCCCCCUGCCAUGUCAGCUGACCAGGAAUGAGGCAAGCCGCCUCGUUACCCCCGAGACUAUCUGGAGGCCUUCCUCUCCUCUGAGGACCCAGCGAGGGUCGAGCACAGUGAGACACUUCUACAGCCAGAGAGUCAAGAAAUGGAACAGCAAGGCCACAGAACAUGACAUACGCAGAGCUGUGGGAGACCACCUGAAGCAUUCCCCUGGUAGAGCCAGAGGAUGGUGUUUACCACACCACCACCAAACAUCUUCAACAGGCUUGAAAAGUGGGAUUGAUCUGUUUGAUCCAUUUGAUUUGUUUCAGUUUUCAUUAGUUGAAUCCUUCGACUUAUUAAUGAUAAAAAAUAAAAAAUAAAUGUUAACAAAAAUGCACUGGAUUCAUUCAAAGGUGAUACUAAACAUCCAUCAUUUUGACACAGAGGAAGAUAUGCUAAAUUUAUACAGUUUUUGAUUCAAAGAUGGACCAAAAUAUAUGUUCCUUUUGCACAUUUUUGUUCAUUAGUUUUGCAAGAAUGUUGAUUGGUCGGUCAUUGGGUUCAUUAGUAUAGCAAUAUGUUGAUGCCAUUGAUUAAAAGAGUAAGAAUAUGAUGCAAUAUUCGACACUUGUUUUACUCCAUUGUUUGCAAACAAUAUAAUUGUAAAAAAAAAAAAUUCAGUUGGUUGCAUAAAUAAUGACGAUUACUACAUGUUAUAUGAAAUAUCAAAACAGAAUUGUUCAAAUGUAAUGGAAAAAAUUCACUUAAUGUUAAGGUAUGGAAUAAGAAAUGUAUCCUUUUUCACGCUGGAUGUUUGAAAUAUGAGGAGAUGAUGAUUUGAGUCAGUCUUCUUCAUUAGUGGAACAAAGACAAUUAGCACUAACGUUGUACAGAAAUACUGGGUGUAAAUACUGGCGUGAUGUGUGAUGUUAAUAAAAUG